CUUUGUGUUGUUAGAGAAAAGGCAGUUUGCGAACUGCUUUAUCAAGCUCCCCGUCUCAAGUAACAGUCAACAUUUCAACGCAAGGAAGAAAUACAGCCUCAGCAUAUCUGUGCUUAUAAGUGCGCUAAGUGGCAUCAGUGCAAAGGCAAGAAUAGUCACCGUGGGUGUGUGUGUGAUGUUUUGGAUAGGCAUAUGUGCAUCCAACUGUGCAUUUGUUUCUGCAGGACUGCUUUCAUUGCCCGUACAUCCUCGCACACAUAUCUGUUCUGCUCCUCUACGCCGAGCGGUUCAGCUGUGCCUUACUUGGACUGAUGAAUAAUUUCUGCACUGUGCUCUGCUGUGGCACGUCUGGUGCAGCCUGACUGCACCACACAGCUACAGCUCCGCAUUUGCAUUCAAAACGCACACACUCACACUUUUACACUGAUGAGCACCAAGCAUGCGCCCGCCGUCCCGACACCGUCCAUUCUGCCAGACGCUUCCCUGUGUGGAGGAUGCAACAAGCCGCUAAAAAAACAAACAAAAACAAAAAAAAAGCAACAGCAGUUUUCUAUUACUCAGUGUCAUCUUGCUUCUGCUUCCAGAGUUUACGAAAAUUGCUCAGUGACGCGCCAACAAACUGGACAAAGAGCCAAGCAAGGAAAAAUCCGCCAAUUCCAAAACUCUCACCUGAGGUUGACUUUAAAAAUCUUAACUCUGGAUUUGUGGCAUUUAAAUUCAAGGCCGGAAAAGAGAAGAAACGGUGCUGAAAUGUCAGCUCUAUUUUGAAGUGGCAGACAUGCUGAUGUGGUGACCUCUAUGUGCUGUGGCUAAAAGGUUGGGGGGCUGCAGGGCAAAUGAGCAGGGGGUAUAAGCUUACUUCUGAGUGAAAAGGAAGGGGCAGUCUUGGAUUGUGGUUUCCAGUCUUGCUCAUGCCUCUAAAGUCACAUUUUAAAGCUGGACGUCUCUAAUUAUCCGACGCUGCUGUAAAAUAUCUAAUCACUAAUUAAAAUGUCAUUUAAAACACCUCUGUUCAAGUCUUUAAAAAAGGCUGUAAUCUGCAUAACACAACAACAACGUCGCUACUGUGUGUGCCUCCAAGUACAGCAGGUUGUGCAUCUGUAAGCAGCUUAAUAAAGGGAAACCACAAGCAGCAGCGCCAGUGGUGUGUGCAACCGAACACCUCCUACUGUCUCUGGGUCUAUCUGGAAGACCUCCAGGUGCUGCGCUCCUUCAUCUAUCCGAGACUAGCGUGGAAUUUUU
ensembl:lncRNA